rnacentral:rRNA from 1 species
AGAUGGGCGCACGGCGCACGGGUGCGUAACACGUGGGUAACCUGCCCUCUGAUGGGGGAUAACCCGCCGAAAGGCGGGCUAAUACCGCAUGACAUUCCGACGAUUUCGAUUGUGGGAAUCAAAGCCCGCAAGGGCGUCGGAGGAGGGGCCCGCGCCCGAUUAGCUUGUUGGCGAGGUAACGGCUCACCAAGGCUAUGAUCGGUAGCCGGUCUGAGAGGAUGGCCGGCCACACUGGAACUGACACACGGUCCAGACUCCUACGGGAGGCAGCAGUGGGGAAUCUUGCGCAAUGGGCGAAAGCCUGACGCAGCGACGCCGCGUGGGGGAUGAAGCUUCUCGGAGUGUAAACCCCUUUCGACCCGGACGAAUGGCCCGCAAGGGACGUGACGGUACGGGUAGAAUAAGCCCCGGCUAACUACGUGCCAUCAGCCGCGGUAAAACGUAGGGGGCCAGCGUUGCUCGGAACUACUGGUUUUAAAGGGUUCGUA